UGCCCGCAGCCCGUGAGCUCCGAGUAGGAAGACAAACUGGAUUGCCGGAAGCGGGAGAGUCCGGACUAGCGGCGAAGGGCUCUUAUUCCCAGUCGGCUGUGCCCGCGGAGCCGCCUCGUUGCCGUUGGCCGUAAGCGGGGGCGGCAGUCCCUCGGCCAGCGCCUCGGGCUGCGAGUGGCGCCGGGAGCGGGGGCGUCGGCUCAGCCAGCGGCUGGCGUCCGGGCCCUGCGCGUCAGGCCUGAGAACUGGAGGAAACUGGAGAAAAGAUGCCCUCUGACUCUUUCUGUUUGGCUGCCCAGGCUCGCCUUGACUCCAAAUGGUUGAAAACAGAUAUACAGUUCCCGGCCUGCGGGCAAAGGCGUGGAGGGGCUCGCCAGAGUGGGAUCCCGAGCGGCGCUGUCUUUCGCCUUCGCCUUCCUGCGCAGGGCCUGGCGAUCAGGCGAGGAUGCGGACCUCUGCAGUGAGCUGUUGCAGGAGUCCCUGGAUGCCCUGCGAGCACUUCCCGAGGCCUCGCUCUUCGACGAGAGCACCGUGUCCUCUGUGUGGCUGGAGGUGGUGGAGAGAGCGACCAGGUUCCUCAGGUCUGGGCAGUGUCCUCCUGAACAGCCUGAAGCAGACGGUGGUGACCCUGGCCAGCAGCGCGGGCGUGCUGAGCACCGUGCAGUCGGCCGCCCAGUCCGUGCUGCAGAGCGGCUGGUCCGUGCUGCUGCCCACUGCCGAGGAGCGGGCCCGGGCACUCUCUGCUCUCCUGCCCUGCGCAGUUUCAGGCAAUGACGUGAACAUAAGUCCAGGUCGUCGAUUCAUGAUUGAUCUUCUGGUGGGCAGCUUGAUGGCUGAUGGAGGGUUGGAGUCAGCUUUACACGCAGCCAUUACUGCAGAGAUCCAGGAUAUUGAAGCCAAAAAAGAAGCACAGAAGGAAAAAGAAGUUGAUGAACAGGAGGCGAAUGCCUCAACGUUUCACAGAAGCAGGACGCCAUUGGAUAAAGACCUUAUUAAUACGGGGAUCUGUGAGUCUUCUGGCAAACAGUGUUUGCCUCUGGUUCAGCUCAUGCAACAGCUUCUUAGAUGGAGUUUCGCUCUUGUCGCCCAGGCUGGAGUACAAUGUUGCAAUCUCACCCCACCACAACCUCCGCCUCCCCGGUUCAAGCGAUUCUCCUGCCUCAGCCGCCCAAGUAGCUGGGAUUACAGGUGUGAGCCACCACACCCGUCUCUCACUUGUUUUUCAAAGAACUCAGUAAGGGUGGAAGGGACAGGGAAAGAGAUUGAAUUGAUAGCUGGCUAACAGGGGCCCAGAGAGAUCAGAUAAGAUUGCUGCUGUUAUUACUGUUACUACUCCCACUGUCGGAACCUUUGAGUGCUUCACCAGGCACUGCACUAACAAACCCAUUCAAUCCUCGCAACCUUCAUAGGAGACGGUUACCAUUAUUACCUCUAUUGUGUAGAUGAAAAACAUGGGGUACUGAAGGUUAAGGGGUUGUCUAAGAUCACUUAGACAGAGCUGGGCUUUCAACACCCAGGUAUAUCUGAUUCUGUAAGCCCAUUCCUUCGCUGGGGGUAGGGCACAGAUAAGAAGGAGGAAAUUAAUCCUUUGUUGACUCUUUGAAAGAAUGAUACAUUGGCGUAGUCCAAAACUCAGAAGGUACAGAAGGGAAAUACCUCCCAUGCACACUGUUCCUGUCUCCUGAGUUUUUUAUGAAUCCUUACAAAUAUGUUUUAGGUAUAUUAGCAUAAUACGUAGCCACACACAUGUACGUUUGUUCCCUCUCUCUACACAAAUGGUAACAUUCUAAAGAUACUCUUCUGUACUUUCAUGGUACACGUACACUAACCCCUGCCUAGGACUUAGCAAAGGCCACAGCCACGUGUGGGCAGGGUGGGCUCUUGGCCUCGGAGCUCUGUGUCCGGUGCUCGUUCCCCACAGCACCCUGCAGCUAACCCACAGCAGCUGACUCAGCCCCAACCUGCCUCUAAUAUCCACACACAAAAGCAGUAAUAAAUGGCCCAUGCUGCCUUCUGGACAGGACACUGCAUGGUGCAGAAGGGACCUUUAGGCUCAUUCCUCCAUCUGUGAAACUGGGCUCCCAGGGGACCGAGCAGGUGGUUGGACUCACCCUGUCCGCCUUCUUGUGCUGUGUGGACACAGCAGACAGAGCCCGCUGUAACUCUCCUGCAAAGUGCCAGGAACGAUUGGACUCUCCUGGAAUGACAGAGGUUGAGAUGUGGCACAAAGGACUCCCCCUAAAGGCCUGUGAAAGUGCCAGGUUGAAGGAUGACCGGGUGCCCAGAUUCCCACCUUCACAUUUCCUGGCAGCCUCCUGGCUGUAGUAGAGCCCUGUCUCCAGUUCAGUUUUCUGACUCAUAAGGAUUCGUAUAGUAUGAUCCUGGGUCUUUGGAAGAAAAGACAAGCAAGUGCUGAAACAGAAGCAAAGAAACCUUCUCCAGAGGACAGGAGGGAACUUCACCCCCUCCACUCACCUCUAGCUCCCUCCUUAGGGCUUCCUGAUGUUGGUGGCUUGCCGCCUUUUCCUAUAGGAAGAGGAAGACAGAGCUCUUACUAGGGGAAGGCAGAGAUGGCACAGCAAGAGAUGCUCCCAGAAUGGCACCACUGCCCCAGGACAGGCCCACCCAUGGGGCCAGGUUAUCAGGGACCCUGUGGGGAUGGGGUGGAAUCUGGGGGGUAAGCCUUCAUCCCCAGUCUGGGAGUGGGCCAGACGAGACUGGGGCCUCUACAUCUGAGUGCCCCCCAAACCCAGCAGUCAUGUCGUGAGCAAACAAAGAAAUCAUGUUACUUCUUCCAGCUGAGCUCAGUUCUGUUGUUUCUGUGGGGAGAGUCAAAGGGAGGUGACUGAGGGUGGCCCCCUCGAGUCUAUUCCCCAAGUCAGGAAGCGGUAGGCAGGGGCCAGGGAUGGAUUUUAAAGGCAAAGUUCUCAGACCCAAUGGGAACAUGAACUGGUCAACUCUCGACUGCCAAAAAAAAAAUGGAUUUGGGUCUUUAUUGGUUUUUGCCCACAGCCACAGAGCUGAAAGGCUGAAACUAGAUUCUCUGGAAAGACACUAACAUAAACCUUCAGAGAUGGAGUGUGAGAAAAGCCCACCCUUCUGCCAGCUUGUGAUUUAGAAAGGAAAUGCAAGUCCAAAAGAGGAGAGGAGUUUACAGUAGGCCCUGGCCUAGGGAUUAACACAAAAGCAACAAUAACAAAUCUGAUUCAAACUUCACAAAUGUAAGUAAAACAUUACCACCCCUAUUUUAUAGAUGUGAAAAGAGAGGCCCAAAUCACUCAAGCAAUUUGCCGUAAAUCAUGUUCCUAGUAGAUGGAGAGGUAGGAUUCAAACCCAGAAUUCUUAACCAAUACCCGGCAGUUCUUCCUUCCACAAUCUUAACAGUUACCUUCUACCCACCCCUCGUGCCCCUGACCUCAGGAGACCAACCAGCCAAAACUCACAUCCUCAGGUGAACGGCAACCACCAGAAGUGGUUGUCUCAGGGUUAGUGCCAUUAUUUAUUUUCUUUUUGGUGUCGGUUCCUCCGGUACUAACACCAGCAUUGUUCCACUGAUGAUAGCCUCUAAACUGUAGAAAAGAAGAGCAGUGAUACUCAUACAGUCACUUUACAGUUUAUACCCAAUACUCUCGUAGAUGAUCUGAUUUAAUGCCACCAACAACUGUACGAGGUGUUGUCAAAAUCACAACUGAGAGGGAUCAAUACUGUGGCAGAAAAAAAAAGGCAAUAAUGGAACUUAAACUCAGUCUUCUGACUCUGAGCUCUGGGGUUUUGCCACAAAUCGGCAGUUUCCAGGGACCAAAACCAGAGGCAGAGGUAGAAAACUAAACAGUAGGCAGGAAAGUAUCCACUGUGUGAUUUAGAGUCAUACAUCCUCACACGUCUGUUAGUGUGAAGAAGUACACCACUACCUCUCAAACUUUUACAUCAAUGUAUCCUCAGGGCAGAAGCCAGCUUUUCUGUUAAAUCUGGGAAUUUAACAGAGGACAACCCAAGCUUCAUUUCAGAGAGAAGUCUGGUAUACUCUUAGAAAUCUAUGUGACUAUCAUCCCCAAGAGCAUUAAUCUUUUGUCUCUUCCAAAAGAAUCAAGGGAAACUGUAUGCUUCAGAAAGAGGCCCCAUUUUUAUCCUGUGGCACUCAAAGUACCCCAGGUUGAGGUGAGAUGAAGAAGAUUUGAGUUGUCAAGUUCAGUUUCCCAAGAUCUAGUCCACAGAAGAUGAGCAAAUCUCACUUCAGAGACCACUGACUGAUGGGAACCGUGGUCCCAGAACCCUGGAGAAUUCAAAUAUGAGGUGUAGAACUUAGAAAGAAAAGGCUAAAGUCUCUUUGGAGAGUAGAAGCCUGGGAGAAAACCAAACCAAACUCGUUCUCCCAUUGCCACCCAGAGACACUGUGAACAUUUUGAGUUCACAGGGGAGGUGUAGCCUUUUCAAACGGUCAAUGUCUGUGUUAAGGGACUAAGGCAGCCCGAAACUUCUCGCUCCUAGGUCACAUCGUCCCUACUCCUCUUCCAGCUGGAAAUCUGUGCUGCUACCAGAGGAAUCAGAAAAGGGGCAAGAACACUUAGGGCACGGGUCCUAAGAUCAAAGGCCCACCUCGCAGCCGUAAUGAUAGUUCCUAGAGGGACUGUGAUGUCACUACAUUCCACUCCUCCGUGCGGUGGUGGGGGACCGGGGACACAUCAGUGCUGUGCCCAAGUUGCCUCUUUGAGAUUAGGGAGGGGUUUGCAGGAUCAGGACCCAGGUCCUUGGAGACGCGAGCCCGAAGAGCCCAGGGAGGUUGGGCUUGGGGCGGUGGGAGGUGAGGGCCGAGUAUGGAGUGGGGAGCCCCAGGAGUCGCCUGCCCAAAGUCACCCUGGGCCGACUGGUGAGGGCAGGUGCAGGGGCACCCAGGUCCUUGGAGACACGAGCCCAAAGGGCCCAGGGAGGUCAGUUUUGGGGUAAUAGGAGGUGAGGGUGGAGUACGGAGUGGGGAGCCCUAGGAGUCACUGGCUCAAAGUCACCCUGGGGUCACUGGCGAGGGCAGGGGCAGGAAUGCUGAGGGGGUGGGGCUGGCUGAGAAGAUUUUGGCUGGGGGAGCCCAGAGUCACUGGGAGGGCCGAACCUGGGGUGCCUCUGGAGUGGCAUGAACUCUGGCAGCUGUUCUGCUAUCUGAGGGGGCCUGGGGCUGGGUUUGGGUUGGGGUGCCGCAACCCUCUGCGUUUUACCUUUUUCUUGGCCUCAGCCAGUUUUCUCUGUCUGUUUUCUUCUGACAUCAUGGGGUGGGGAGGGAGGUGGGGUUGGGGCCACGUUGGCGUGAUCCAGAUGAGCACACCGAUACACCUCCAGUCACGUACCACACAGCGGUGUGACUGAACCAGAGGAGGCGUAACCAGGGCCACACAACAAUGCAGAAUAGGGGCGUGACCUUAAUGCUUGAAGCCUAUUGGUCAGUAAGAAAGAGGAAAGGGAAAGGAGGCGGGGUCAGGCAGCCACGUGUCAUGAAGGACCUGUGAUGUCACAUGGAAGAACGCCCAUGUGACCUCUGUUCCCGCCCACUCCAGGAGAGGGGUGGUGCUGGCUCUCACUUUAAAAACUUUAAAACUUUAUCACCUUAAUUGAGGUACAAAUCCAAUGAAAAUGGAAAAUUUACAGUGUUCUUGAUGAUUAAUAAAGCAGACUAUAUUAUCCAACA